AUGACGCUGGCGGCAUGCUUUACACCUGCAAGGUUAAACGGUAACGCGGGCUUCGGCCUGGCGACGAGUGGCGGACGGGUGAGUAAUGCAUCGGAACGUAUCCAUUUGUGGGGGAUAGCCCGGCGAAAGCCGGAUUAAUACCGCAUAAGCUCUGAGGAGGAAAGCGGGGGACCUUCGGGCCUCGCGCUGAUGGAGCGGCUGAUGUCGGAUUAGCUUGUUGGUAGGGUAAAGGCCUACCAAGGCGACGAUCCGUAGCUGGUCUGAGAGGAUGAUCAGCCACACUGGAACUGAGACACGGUCCAGACUCCUACGGGAGGCAGCAGUGGGGAAUUUUGGACAAUGGGGGAAACCCUGAUCCAGCCAUGCCGCGUGCGGGAAGAAGGCCCUCGGGUUGUAAACCGCUUUCAGACGGAAAGAAAUAGCGCAAGUUAAUACCUUGUGUUGAUGACGGUACCGUCAGAAGAAGCACCGGCUAACUACGUGCCAGCAGCCGCGGUAAUACGUAGGGCGCGAGCGUUAAUCGGAAUUACUGGGCGUAAAGCGUGCGCAGGCGGUUCUCUAAGACAGGUGUGAAAUCCCCGGGCUUAACCUGGGAAUGCGCUUGUGUCUGGAGGACUAGAGUGUGGAACGAGGGGGAUGGAAUCCUGGUUGUAGCAGUGAAAUGCGUACAUCAUCACGGAGGAACCACCGAUUGUGACGAAAGGGCCAGGUCCCCCUGGGGCACAACAACUUGAACGCUUCAAUGCACGAAAAAGCGUGGGGGAGCCAACAGCGGGAUUAAUCCCCCUGGUAGUUCCAACCGCCCCUAAAACGAACGUUCAACCUAUUGUCGGGGAAAGGGGAAUCUUUGAGCACCGUCAUAACGCAUUGAAGUUACACGCCUGGGAUACGCCGAAGGUAAACUCAAGGAAUAGG
rnacentral:rRNA from 1 species